UUUCCGUAGGUGAACCUGCGGAAGGAUCAUUAAAGUUAUAGUCCCCCGGCCCUCUGGGCUGGGGUCUUCUAUACCACCCUUUGUUUAUUACACCUUUGUUGCUUUGGCAGGCCUGCCCUCGGGCUGCUGGCUCCGGCCGGCUCGCGCCUGCCAGAGGACCUAAACUCUGUUUGUAUAUGAAGUCUGAGUACUAUAUAAUAGUUAAAACUUUCAACAACGGAUCUCUUGGCUCUC
rnacentral:misc_RNA from 1 species